GGCCUAUCGUGUAAAAAGGUACCGUGAAAAAUUUUCUGGCCAGAGCUACCAAUAAUUGUAAUGUGAGUAUGAAGUAGGUAAGAUUAAAACCAAAAGGCUUUUGGUGGUACUCGCAAUGCGAGAGAGGUAAAACAACUUCUUAUUUGAUAUGAAAUUGUAUUCCAAUGCUACUAAAAAAUUAUUUUGAUGAAGACAGGUUAAAAGAUAAUGCCAAUGUAUUUGGCUAAUCGAUGCCAAACUGUGGUGGCGUGAUAAAGUGGAAAAAAUCAUAGCAGAAUCGGAAGCACCAUUUUUACCUUGAGCAGGUAGCACUUAACACAAUGCGAGUUAGAGGAAAUACGACAGAUAGAUUCAAUCUAGGAAUAUGUAAGGACUUUUGCAACUCUCAUGCUAAGAUUGCAAGAGUAUGGUAGAGGCAGACAUGCUAUUCAAUUUUUUAACAAACUUGAAUUUUGGCAAAGAAUGAGUUGAUGAGACAAAAGUGAAAAAGCUCAAUAAGAGCUCGAUCAUUGUAGAAAAGUCUAGAUAACCACCUAUCAAAUGGGGCAAGAAUUCGAGCGGGGGAGCAAAAUGGAAUAACUCCAUUCUUAGAGGAACAAGGGGAGACAGGCUAACCAACCUGGAAGAGAAUAAUGUUCCACAAGACCAUUGGAUAAUCAGUAC
rnacentral:misc_RNA from 1 species